rnacentral:rRNA from 1 species
UACAGAGGUGGCAAGCGUUGUUCGGAAUUACUGGGCGUAAAGGGCGCGUAGGCGGUCUUUUAAGUCAAAUGUUUAAUUCCCUGGCUUAACCAGGGACAUGCGUUUGAUACUGGGAGGCUUGAGUACGGGAGAGGUGAGUGGAAUUUCCAGUGUAGCGGUGAAAUGCGUAGAUAUUGGAAAGAACACCGGUGGCGAAGGCGGCUCACUGGCCUGAAACUGACGCUGAUGCGCGAAAGCCAGGGGAUCAAACGGG